UACGUAGGGGACAAGCGUUAUCCGGAUUUACUGGGUGUAAAGGGAGUGUAGACGGCAUGGCAAGUCAGAUGUGAAAGCUCGGGGCUCAACCCCGGAACUGCAUUUGAAACUGCUAAGCUUGAGUGCAGGAGAGGAAAGUGGAAUUCCUAGUGUAGCGGUGAAAUGCGUAGAUAUUAGGAAGAACACCAGUGGCGAAGGCGGCUUUCUGGACUGUAACUGACGUUGAGGCUCGAAAGCGUGGGGAGCAAAC
rnacentral:rRNA from 1 species